UGUCAGCAGCCGCGGUAAUACGUAGGAUCCAAGCGUUGUCCGGAUUUAUUGGGUUUAAAGGGUGCGCAGGCGGCCUGAUAAGUCAGUGGUGAAAGCCCGUUGCUUAACAACGGAAUUGCCAUUGAUACUGUCGGGCUUGAGUACAGUUGAGGUUGGCGGAAUGUAUCAUGUAGCGGUGAAAUGCUUAGAUAUGAUACAGAACACCGAUUGCGAAGGCAGCUGACUAAGCUGUUACUGACGCUCAGGCACGAAAGCGUGGGGAUCAAACAGGAUUAGAUACCCUGGUAGUCCACGCUGUAAACGUUGAUAACUCGAUGUUGGCGAUAUAUGGUCAGCGUCCAAGCGAAAGCGUUAAGUUAUCCACCUGGGGAGUACGCCGGCAACGGUGAAACUCAAAUGAAUUGACGG
rnacentral:rRNA from 1 species